rnacentral:rRNA from 1 species
GUCUUUUUGAGUUAUUUUUAAAGUCUGACCUGCCCACUGAAUAAAUUUUAAAUGGCCGCAGUAUUCUAACUGUGCAAAGGUAGCAUAAUCAUUAGUCUUUUAAUUGAAGGCUGGUAUGAAUGGUUGGACGAAGUAUAAGCUGUUUCAUAUAAAAUUAUGUUAGAAUUUUAUAUUUUAGUUAAAAAGCUAAAAUUUUAUUAAAAGACGAGAAGACCCUAUAAAUCUUUAUAUUUAUAAUUAUUCAAAUUUUUUGGAUUGAUUUUAUUUUUAUAGUUAUAAAUAUUUCGUUGGGGUGAUGUUAAAAUUUAAUAAACUUUUAAUUGUUAAAUAAAUCAUUAAUUUAUGAAUAUUUGAUCCAUUAUUAGUGAUUAUAAGAUUAAGUUACUUUAGGGAUAACAGCGUAAUUUUUUUUGAGAGUUCAUAUCGAUAAAAAAGUUUGCGACCUCGAUGUUGGAUUAAGAUAUAUAUUUAGGUGUAGCUGCUUAACAUAAAGUCUGUNCGACUUUAAAUUCUUACAU